CUUCAGUCACCUCCCCUCUAGAUCGUCUCUUCUCUGCAGCUGUAAAUCAUUCUUCUCUGGAGCCCUAAAUUUGACGUAGUUGGAUUUUGACGAGGCAUCGAUUGAGGCUGCUGUGUUGCGGUUUAAGCUGAGACAUAGAACUUGGUGUUGCGAAGGCCGAAGGAACCACAAAAAGGUGUUUUUAAUUUCCUGUCUUGCUCGGUUUUGUAUGCAAUGUAGUUCGGUUUUUAAUUUCCCUCCAUGAAUGAGUUUUCUUCAAAGUAAUUCCAGCAUGGUAAUGGG
rnacentral:sRNA from 1 species